CUAUAGUUCAGUCGGUUAGAGCGUCAGAUUGUGGUUCUGAAUGUCGUGGGUUCGAAUCCCACUAG
rnacentral:tRNA from 6 species